rnacentral:rRNA from 1 species
AGUGAACGCUGGCGGUAGGCCUAACACAUGCAAGUCGAACGGCAGCACAGUAAGAGCUUGCUCUUACGGGUGGCGAGUGGCGGACGGGUGAGGAAUACAUCGGAAUCUACUUUUUCGUGGGGGAUAACGUAGGGAAACUUACGCUAAUACCGCAUACGACCUACGGGUGAAAGCAGGGGAUCUUCGGACCUUGCGCGAUUGAAUGAGCCGAUGUCGGAUUAGCUAGUUGGCGGGGUAAAGGCCCACCAAGGCGACGAUCCGUAGCUGGUCUGAGAGGAUGAUCAGCCACACUGGAACUGAGACACGGUCCAGACGCCUACGGGAGGCAGCAGUGGGGAAUAUUGGACAAUGGGCGAAAGCCUGAUCCAGCAAUGCCGCGUGAGUGAAGAAGGCCUUCGGGUUGUAAAGCCCUGUGAUUGGGAAAGAAAAGCAGGGGGUGAAUACACGCAUGUCCUGACGGUACCCAAGGAGUAAGCACCGGCUAACUUCGUG